CAGGGGCCUGCGGGUGGCGCGGCAGUUUUAGCGGGAAUCCACCACUAGCUGGCGCCUAAGGCCGAGGCCGUCUGCGCAGGCGCUGUGGGCACCAGCUGUUGCAUUGUGGGUGGGAACGUUGAGGCGCUUGGCGUUCCCCUCAUUCUGUUAGCGGAACACUGGGCCUGUGGUAGCGCUCGACCUAGGCUUCGAGCGGGAGAGGUUGGUCCGCCAUGGAGGCCUCUGAAAACGCCGAGGCUGGUACCCACAGUGGAGUGGGUGAUACUGGUGCAGCAGGUAACCCUGGACGGUCUCCCUUCACUGGAACCAGAGAAGGUUCUGGAACGGAAGGCGCUGUUACCCGGGAUACUCCUCAGGACGAGGGGACAGGACAGGGUCCAGUGCCUCUUGGAAACGCUGUGGCCUCAGGUGGAAUUGAUAGAAGUAAAUGGCUGGAGCUCCGCCUUGUGGUGCCUUUCCCCUAUUGCGUGGAUGCAGAUGUUACCCACAUGCUCCUGGCUCCAAACGAUGUGACCGUCGGACCUGGACUUCACAGGGAAAUGACAGUGAGAGAAAACGAACUGUUUGUCGUGCUAAGUGCUGAAAAUGCCGACCUUCUGGAGGAUUUUCUCAUCUCAUUCCUGACCGAGCUUUGCGGAGUAAUUCCUCUACUGGAUGAUUUCUUUCCCUAGUAUCCCGACGAUUCUCAGCUGGAAAAGAGGACUGUUUUCUUCAUUGGUCCUGCAGCCCUGGACAGUUCAUCCUUCCCUAGGGCAGGGCCUCCAGGCCCUUUUGUUCCUCUAGACCGCCCUCUGGUGCAUAAAUAUUUGUUCAUGCUGAAAAUAAAAUGAAAUGCUCUUCCAUGUCUGAG
rnacentral:lncRNA from 1 species